CGCCCUCUGAACUAACCACAUAGAGGGUACUGCCUGCCCAGUGACUCACAGUUAAACGGCCGCGGUAUCUUGACCGUGCGAAGGUAGCAUAAUCACUUGUCUCCUAAAUAGAGACUGGUAUGAAUGGCAAGACGGGAUUCUACUGUCUCCUCUUCCCCUAUUAGAAUUUCACUAUCCCGUGAAGAGGCGGGAAUAAUAUCGUAAGACGAGAAGACCCUGUCGAGCUGCAGCGAAGCUUUGACUAACAACUCCCUUUUUACUAACUAAUCUUUAUAGCUACAAGAAAACAAGGACUUGUUAGAUUAAAGCAAGCUUUGAUUGGGGCAAUCACGGAGAAAAGCAAUCCUCCGUUACUAAUGAAACCAAGGUUUCCUAAACUCAAGGAUUACUAUCCUGUCAUCAAAAAUGAAGGUGCGAUCCACUCCACAGUGAUCAAAGGAAAAAGUUACCGCAGGGAUAACAGCGUUAUCUUCUCUGAGAGUCCAUAUUGACGAGAAGGUUUGCGACCUCGAUGUUGGAUCGGGACAUCCUGGAGGUGCAGAAGCUUCCAAAGGUUGGUCUGUUCGACCAUUAAAGUCCU
rnacentral:rRNA from 1 species